rnacentral:lncRNA from 1 species
AGCAAGACCGGAAGUGAAGCCUUCCUCUUUAUGGUUAAGAAAGUGGAUAAAAGUUAGGGUACAAAGAGUUAUUUUAUGCUUGUCUUUUGCUGGGAGGUUGCAAGACAACAGAAAAGACCAGCUUGAAGCUGUGAAUGAUCAGAAAAAUUGAGGUUUAUAAAAGAACUACAGCUUCUUCUUAAGUGAAUCCUGCCAAAUCUCGCAUGUAGUGUACAUGCUUUUGAUGUCUAAAUUGGUAUAAUCAUUUGUGUCUUGCAUUCCUCUUAUAUUUAGUUUUGCGCUAGUAGGAGAAGAAAAUUUUCUUGCUUAUGUGUACAGCUACAGUGCAUCGACACCUUCUUAGUUGUGCUUAACUCAUUGUAUGAAGUUUGUCUGUCAAACUUGUGAUGCUGCUGCUACUUGUCUGCUCUUCUAAAAAGAGUCACAACACACUUCAAUAGACAACUAUAAUCCCUCCAUACAUAAUCUUCCAUCCUAAUGCACCAUGUAUUAUGGGCUAAAGUACUUAGACAAUGUC